rnacentral:rRNA from 1 species
CAGCCGCCGCGGUAAUACGAAGGGUGCAAGCGUUACUCGGAAUUACUGGGCGUAAAGCGUGCGUAGGUGGUGGUUUAAGUCCGUUGUGAAAGCCCUGGGCUCAACCUGGGAAUUGCAGUGGAUACUGGAUCACUAGAGUGUGGUAGAGGAUAGUGGAAUUUCCGGUGUAGCAGUGAAAUGCGUAGAGAUCGGAAGGAACAUCUGUGGCGAAGGCGACUAUCUGGGCCAACACUGACACUGAGGCACGAAAGCGUGGGGAGCAAACAGGAUUAGAUACCCGGGUAGUCCCUGUCUCUUAUAA